GACGAACGCUGGCGGCGUGCUUAACACAUGCAAGUCGAACGGAAAGGCCCUGCUUUUGUGGGGUGCUCGAGUGGCCAACGGGUGAGUAGCACGUGAGUAACCUGCCCUUGACUUUGGGAUAACUUCAGGAAACUGGGGCUAAUACCGGAUAGGAGCUCCUGCUGCAUGGUGGGGGUUGGAAAGUUUCGGCGGUUGGGGAUGGACUCGCGGCUUAUCAGCUUGUUGGUGGGGUAGUGGCUUACCAAGGCUUUGACGGGUAGCCGGCCUGAGAGGGUGACCGGCCACAUUGGGACUGAGAUACGGCCCAGACUCCUACGGGAGGCAGCAGUGGGGAAUAUUGCACAAUGGGCGGAAGCCUGAUGCAGCAACGCCGCGUGCGGGAUGACGGCCUUCGGGUUGUAAACCGCUUUCGCCUGUGACGAAGCGUGAGUGACGGUAAUGGGUAAAGAAGCACCGGCUAACUACGUG
rnacentral:rRNA from 1 species